CAGAUUCGAAGUUUAGAACAGUUACUGUGCCUGCUGAAAGUACAGAGCGGUAGAGACCUAGAGACCAGCUGGGAAGCUCCCGUAGUGACCCAACAAAGACAGACAACACGAGAAGAGGGGUGCAUGGAAGGAAGGAGGGGAAGACCAGCUCGGGACACGGGAAACUCGAAAUGGCCGUGUGGAACAGAAAAUGCUCUUGGAAGGCCCAGCAGUGGUUCAACUGCCAAAAUCAAAAGAUUCUCAUCGCUUCCUUAACCAUGAACUCUUGACAGGAUUGGCCCCCUCCUCCUUUCUGCAGGCCUUCUCCUACCCUACUAUUUCCAUCAGUCACCUUUUUG